GAACCAAUGUCGGCUGUGCUCACUGCAGGAGUGACAUGGGGAGGGGGAGGUACAUGGUCACCUCAGUGCUGCAUCUUCCCAACAGCUCUCAGCAGCAUCACAGCCAACUCAUAUUAAGAUAGAAAGUCAUCCCAUAGUCUGCCACUGCGGCUUGUCCAGAAGCAAAGUAAGGUAAAAGCAAGGUUUAGCAGUAGACUCCCAGAAGGGUAAGGAAGCCAGACCCUCAGGAAUGCAGGGAGAGCCCUUGUGGUAUCCCUUCUGACUGCAAGGGCCAAGGCAGCAGCAGACAGCGGUAUUCCUCCUCACCUAUUGGACUGAGCCAAGUCAAAGACCUCCACUGUACUGGGGUUCCGCUGCAGCUCUUGAAAGCGCUUGGUAUAGAAAUCGAGGUCCCAGGAGUCAAGAGCCAAACCUAGGAGACAAACCCUAGAAAAGCUGACAACAUGCUCCGGGCCACCAUAGUCCAUGUCUCAGUAAUCCCACUGAACUAUGUCAGGCCCUUCCCACCCUCCCCUCCUCCUGCACAGACUCCUGCUCACCUAGCUCCUGGUUGGCCUUCUCCAGGGCAGGCCGACCCUCAGCUAGUAUGUCGAUGGAGCCCUUGAGUGGGGCUGGAAUGCUCUGAGGAGAGAAGCUCUGGAUGGGGUCAGGGUAGUGCUGCUCUGUCAUCCGGUCGUGCAAGGCGGCCAGAGAGAUGGCUUCCAUUUCAGCUGUAGGGUGGUCGGUAAACUGGUGUUGGGAAGAUCCAGUCAUAAGAAAACAAAAGACAAGGCUGAAGAAAAGAGAAAAAGGACUCGCUCUGGACCUCCAAGCUAUUCACCUCACUACUACCACAUUGCACCACUUUUCUGUUCUAGUGCAGAGAUCAAGGCCAGGGUUUGUAUAUAGGAGGUGAAUUCCCACCACUGAGCUAUGCACACUCAGACCCAUGCAGCGUCUUUGUUCAGACUAAAAGGAUGCACAGAUAAGUCUGGUUAGUCAGGCUGGCCGAUUCUCCCUUCACAGGUACCUUCAAGCAGCAAACAACCAAACCUCCUAAGCAUACAGGACAGGCCAAAAGCCAAGAGCUUUCCCCCUGCUUCUCCCAUGACUCUGCUCGAGUUCAGGAUCUAAUCUCUGGCCCACUCGCUCCUCUUGAUCUCCUACCACAAUGCCCACACCUUACCGAAAGUCGGUAACGUCGGGUGGUCUCUACCCGAUCCACAGCCCUCAGCCCGGCUGCCUGGCACACAGAAACAAUGUUGGUCGAUGCUGGAGUCGAGAAAUUCAGCCUGAGGAAAGAGUCAGAUGGUUAUAAUCUGAAGGCCUUGGCAAGAAUCAGUUGGGAAGGUAGAUCUUGCCCACUGCUAUCGACCCAACACACCACUGGCCUCUGGUUUCAGACUGGAUGCCAAGGACACCUGCUUUCAAAAAUUAAUCAGAAGAUGGAGAAAUAAUUCCAAGUUUGGUUCCUUGUACCCAUGUCAGGCUCACACCUGCCUGAGACUCUAGUUCUAGGGGGCCCCGAUGCCUCCAUUGGCGCUGCACUCAGGUACAUAGACCCAUACAGAAACCCAGUAUGGGAAACUUAGCCACAUCAUGUUACAAAAGAAAAGCUGUUCAAUGGCACAGUGCUUACUGAGAUGCGUUAAGUCCUACAGUCAGUCCCUAAGCCACGGAAGUGGAGACUCAAGCUCUCCGAGUGUAAGCUGCUGGCUCUAGAGUACACUUGGGAGCUAGUUCAGCUUUCAGGACAUUUGCCCGCCCAGGGAAAAUAUUCGUAUGACUUCCUAGGCAGAGAGAAGGAUGGAACAAAGAAAAAUCGCCAAAGACUAAAGGUGAAAGAAAUGGAGGUGAAGGUUGGGUAGGGAGUGUGAAAGGGAGACAUGCCUGGGAACGAGGGGACAAGCUGCCCAGGGCACCUGCCACAUACCUGGGUCCCACCUCCAGCAACAAAUCGUUGGAGCCAGGAACAAGCCAGGGCUCCUGAGCAACAUCAUCCCGCACCAAAGGGCAGCCGAACAGCCACAUCAACUUCUUCAUCUCCUCAGCCCAUGGAAGGGUCUCAGCUGCAGAGACAAGACAAGGGCACCUCAAGAUCACCUCCUUUUAAGAAACCAAUGGAAAGAGGGGCAGGGGGAUCUCUUUGGGUUCUAGGCCAGCUUAGUCUACAUUUCAAGCUCCUAGUACUACAACGGAGAGAUCUGCCUCAAAUUAAAAGCCAAACAACAAAAACAGAAUCCAAUACUUAGGGGCUGAGAUUCUUUUUCUUUUUGAGACAGGGUUUCUCUGUGUAGCCCUUGCUGUUCUGGAACUCACUCUGUAGACCAGGCUGGCCUUGAACUCAGAAAUCUGCCUGCCUCUGCCUCCCAAGUGCUGGGAUUAAAGGCAUGCGCCACCAGUGCCUGGUGCUGAGAUACAUUUUAAGCUCCAAGUACUACAUUUCAUGCAGUCAGCACUACAACGGAGAGAUCUGCCUCAAGUUAAAAGCCAAACAACAAAAACAGAAUCCAAUACUUUAGGGGGCUGAGAUGGACCCAGAAGUUAAAAGAACUGGCUAUUCUUCCAGGGGAUCCAUGCCCUCUUCUGGCCUUGUACACACGGUAAGCAAACAUUCAGGUAAAACACAAACGUACUCAAUGUACCUGUAGUCAAGUGUGACAACCUGAGUCCGAUCCCCAGGAAGCCACAUGGAAGGAAAAUAGUAAAUCAGUAAAGCAGGAGGCUAAAGAGAUGGCUCAGGGGUUAAUAUCACCAUCCGCUCUUACAGAAAACCCAGUAUCAAUUCCCACCCCCACAUCAGAAGGCCACGUCUAUGCCCAGCCUUAGGGGAUCCAAAGCUGCCUUCUGAACUCUUGCACACAUAUACACACUCACAUAUACAAAUCCAUACAUAUAUACUCAAUUAACAAUAAAAUAGAAACAAAAUGUAAUAAAGAAGUAAAUCAAAAACAAAAAGCCAAUGCCUGACACUGGAUGUGCUAAUACACCAGAGUAAGUCUAGCACUCAGGGAAAGGCAGCAGAAUCAAGAGUUCAAGGCCAUCCCCGUCACAGAGAGAAUUCCAGACCACUCUGGGCUACAUGAUCCUCAGAGUCAAACAACCCACCAAAAAACAAAACAAAAUUUAAACCCAGCAUCUGGCCUCACCUGCCCAGUGUACAUUGUAGCACAGCUCAGUCUCCACACUCUGAAGUGUUGGCAGUUUCUCUUGUAGUCUCCGAAAAACACGUCCAGAUGCUGCCCCCUCAUGGCCAGAGGGGCGGACAUAAAAGUGAAGGACAGGGGCCAUUUCUGCAGAUGACCUUUUAGAAAAGAAUUUGGCUCC
rnacentral:lncRNA from 1 species